rfam:Cavia porcellus supercont2_22 genomic scaffold, whole genome shotgun sequence.
GGGGAUUUAGCUCAGCAGCAUAAGCGCCUGCCUUGCAAGCAGGCAGUUGCAAGUUCGAUCCCCAGUACCCC